rnacentral:rRNA from 1 species
AGUCGUCGGGCACCACUAAACCCGAAGGCGCAUUGAACGAAAAGGCAGGUCCUCCGCGGCCGGCCGAGGGAUGAUGGGAGCCCCCUCGCGGGGCUCCUCGCAAUCCCGGGGCGUCUCGUCCUACGCGCGCUCGUCGCGUGAAGGUGAGGCGCACCAUGAGCGUGCGCGUUGGUACCCGAAAGAUGGUGAACUAUGCCUGGCCAGGACGAAGUCAGGGGAAACCCUGAUGGAGGUCCGUAGCGAUUCUGACGUGCAAAUCGAUCGUCAGAGCUGGGUAUAGGGGCGAAAGACUAAUCGAACCAUCUAGUAGCUGGUUCCCUCCGAAGUUUCCCUCAGGAUAGCUGGCACUCGGAGAUUGGAAUCCCAUCCGGUAAAGCGAAUGAUUAGAGGCCGUGGGAUCGAAACGAUUUCAACCUAUUCUCAAACUUUAAAUGGGUGGGAUCCGCGGCUUGCUUGAAAGUGAAGCCGCGGACCCGGAUCAGAGUGCCCAGUGGGCCACUUUUGGUAAGCAGAACUGGCGCUGUGGGAUGAA